UAGCAUGAUGAUACCACUCUUUACUUUUUUUCUGGUACCUCUUAUGUCAGAGGCUGGGUCUUUUCUGGCCCAGCUUCAAUGAUCUUAAUGGACUUCUGAUU
rnacentral:snoRNA from 1 species